GUGGGCAUGCGCAUCGGUCGGGGUGGCGGGAACAGGAAAAGGUGAACCCAGAAAUGCUGAGUCAGGCUACCCAAGGUGGCUGUCGGGAGGGUGGGAAUAAAUGGCGGGAAUAAGCAAAAAUGCCAAGUCAGGGUGGCCAAGAUGGCCACUGGGAUGGCGGGAACCCGCGAAUCUGGGAAUGCCGAGUCAGGGUAGCCAAGACGGUUGCUGGUCGCCAUCUUGGAGUCUUCACCGGAGUCCAAUCAAUUGUUUCAGAGACAACCGUUCCAGUGGCUAUAGGAGGAUUAAAAGAGAACAAAGGAGGAUAUUGGGGCAUCAGCCUCACAGAAGUGGGUCAGGAAAGUCAUACCUUUGCUUGAUCUUAUGCUAGAUGCUCCUCUGAGUUAAGAGAAAACAAAAACAGAGCAAUACUUGUGAAGAAAAACGUGCUUCUCUUGUCUCAUCUUAGCACUGAAUAUGCUAAUGGCCCUUCCGGACACCUACCUCAACAGAAACAAUGCUAACCUGAAUGAAUAGAUCCCAGGACAUUCUUUUCGUAAACCCAGUCCAGCCUACAUUCUUUAUUUCAUGUUUUGCCAAACACCAUUACAUUAGAGGUCAUUAGAAACUUGUCAAUAUAUUUAAA
rnacentral:lncRNA from 1 species